rfam:Aedes aegypti strain Liverpool supercont1.927 genomic scaffold, whole genome shotgun sequence.
CAGUCGGCCCUUUUCAGGGCCAACAAAUGUAAACUAAGGAGUUAUUU